rnacentral:rRNA from 1 species
CCUACGGGAGGCAGCAGUGGGGAAUCUUGCGCAAUGCGCGAAAGCGUGACGCAGCAACGCCGCGUGGGGGAAGAAGGCCUUCGGGUUGUAAACCCCUUUCAGUUGGGACGAAGCUUCGCCGGUGAAUAGCCGGCUGGAGUGACGGUACCUUCACAAGAAGCCCCGGCUAACUACGUGCCAGCAGCCGCGGUAAUACGUAGGGGGCUAGCGUUGUCCGGAAUCAUUGGGCGUAAAGCGCGUGUAGGCGGUUCGGUAAGUCCGCUGUGAAAGUCGGGGGCUCAACCCUCGAAAGCCGGUGGAUACUGUCGGGCUAGAGUACGGAAGAGGCGAGUGGAAUUCCUGGUGUAGCGGUGAAAUGCGCAGAUAUCAGGAGGAACACCAAUUGCGAAGGCAGCUUGCUGGGACGUUACUGACGCUGAGACGCGAAAGCGUGGGGAGCAAACAGGAUUAGAUACCCUGGUAGUCCACGCCGUAAACGAUGGGCACUAGGUGUGGGGGGUGUCGACUCCCUCCGUGCCGAAGCUAACGCAUUAAGUGCCCCGCCUGGGGAGUACGGCCGCAAGGCUAAAAUUCAAAGGAAUUGACGGGGGCCCGCACAAGCAGCGGAGCAUGUGGUUUAAUUCGACGCAACGCGAAGAACCUUACCUGGGCUUGACAUGUGGGUGACCGGCGUGGAAACACGCCUUCCCUUCGGGGCACCUUCACAGGUGGUGCAUGGCUGUCGUCAGCUCGUGUCGUGAGAUGUUGGGUUAAGUCCCGCAACGAGCGCAACCCCCGUCGCAUGUUGCCAGCAUUUAGUUGGGGACUCAUGCGAGACUGCCGGUGACAAACCGGAGGAAGGUGGGGAUGACGUCAAGUCAUCAUGCCCCUUAUGUCCAGGGCUACACACGUGCUACAUUGGCGCGUACAGAGGGCUGCGAUACGGCGAGGUGAGCGAAUCCCUUAAGCCCGUCUCCGGUUUCGGAUGAGCUGAAACCCCGCCCUCCAUGAGGCGGAGUUGCUAGUAUCGGCGGAUCCAGCAUUGCCGCCGGGUGAAUACGUU